rnacentral:lncRNA from 1 species
AUAAGAAGGUGGUGGUGGUGCAGCACCAUAGGUAGGUGGUGGUGGUGCAGCACCAUAGGUAGGUGGUGGUGGUGCAGCACCAUAGGUAGGUGGUGGUGGUGCAGCACCAUAGGUAGGUGGUGGUGGUGCAGCACCAUAAGUAGGUGGUGGUGGUGCAACGCCAUGAAAAGGUGGUGGUGCAGCACCAUAAAAAGGUGGUGGUGCAGCACCAUAAAAAGAUGGUGGUGCAGCACCAUAAAUAGAUGGUGGUGGUGGAGUAAAUGCAUAAGGAUGAACAUAGGCACCAAAGUGAGUUGGUGAUGGUCCCGAUGGGUAAUAAGGAGGUGGUGUUGAUGAAUAAUAAGGAUGCUGCGGCCCAUAAGCAUAAUAAGGAGAAG